UAUCACUAUGAAAUGUGCAAACAAAUAAAACAUCACAAUAACUUGCUAUAAAAAAUCAGACAAACCUGUGUGAUAAUAAUGACGUGCAGGGAAUAAGUAUGAAGCAACAGAAAAUUUACCACUUGAUACUUUCGGUGUGGACAACGAUGGUGGGUAGUUGCAAUAUCCACUGCCAUGAACUGAAGCACACACUCUCUUAUGAUUUA
rnacentral:lncRNA from 1 species